GCCAGCGUAGCACAGCGGUCUGAGGGUUGGACUAUGACUCUAGAGCCCAGGGAUCAAUUCCCAGCUUGGGCA